AUAUAUCAACCUCUACAGUUUUUGCUUGUUUGAGUGUUGGAUGUGGGGGUUUAUCUUUUGCUGGCCUUUAUGAGGCCAGCUCCCCUGAAAUUCAUUAGCAGAACAAUUUGUUAACCUGUUCAUUGGCGUGAUAACUAUCUAAGCUAUUGAUGGAAAACAGUUCAGCUUCUAAUAGUCCAUUGACUUGGACAAUUUUUUAUUAUUA
rnacentral:misc_RNA from 1 species